GUUUGGAUCCAAACAUGGGUCCUCUGUAAGAACAAGUGCUCUUAACCUUUGAGUCAUCUCUAACCUUUAACAUUAAUUGUUCUGAGGCAUUUUUCUACUUAAGUACAUGAAAUUGUGUCAGUUCACAAGACAUCAUGUUCUUUUAAACUAUUGUAGACAUUCUUACACAGACUAGUUAAAAGACCAUCCCCCCCCCCAUACCCUUUCCCCCUGUGCUCCCUCCCCCCGUGAGACAAGCUGGAGCAAUCUCCCCCCACCCCCCCAGACGCUGUCCCCGGCCCAUGGUCUUCCGACUCUGUUCUUUGCUCUUCUGCGACUCCUAGAUGUCCAAGAGUCAGAGAACCCCGUAGCCCUAGCCUUGUCGUGGGCCUGGGACCCCUGAACCAGCUCUGGCUUCUCCACAUCUCAGACUGGGUUUUCUCACACCCAGAGAGGUGCCUCUCUACAGCCCAGCACCCAUCUUGGUGGCAGUGUGGGUUAAACACGGUCAAACAUCCCUUGUUCCACCUCCCCAAGUGACUGCCCAGUGGCGGAAUAGAUGUGGGCCUACAGUAGUAGCCUUUUCCCCUCCGGUUCUCCUCUUGCAGAUGCUAGAUGGAAAGUACACAGUAGGUAGCCACAUCAAAUGUACCAGAGACCUACCCAACGAUAUGUAUCAGGAGUUCUUUGUCUUCUUCACUAUGGGAAGAGCUCACCACCUGACUAUCUGGCACUGUGUUCUACUUACUGUCUGGCACACACCUAAGCGGUUUCCAGAUUUUGGUGAUUAAAGCUAUAGGUCCUUCCUCACCCCCUGCCCCAGACAGGGUUUCUCUGUAUAGCCCUGGCUGUCCUGAUCUCAAUAGAUCUGUCUGCCUCUGCUUUCCAAGUGCUGGGAUUGAAGGUGUGCACUACUAUGCUUGGCAAACCUUUAGGUUUUUAAACAUGUUAUCUUCCUCCCCUAGUAGUAGGACUGCUGGGUUGCGUGUUUAACUGUAAGAAGCUUCUAAAAUGUUUUCCAAGAGCCACAUCAUUCUGUAGAACCAUGGAUAGCGUCUGCGAGUUCUGGUAGAUCCCCUUGCUCGCUAGUACCUAUAGUCAAGUUCCUACAGAAAGGUUUUGUCUACCCUAGUAUGCAUGGAGCAUGACUUUGUGGUCUUAAUUUUGUUUCUCCAGUUACCAUGGACUGUUGGACAGCUUUUCAUGGGUUACUGAUCCAACCCUUCAAGAAAUGCAUACAUACAUAAGAUAAAUAAAUAAAUGUUAAAAAAAUAUUGGUAAACCACAUGUAACUGAAAAAGUCUCUCCCCUUCAGAAUCAGUGUGGAUCUUAAGAGCAGUGUUUACUUUUUGAAGUUCAUGCCACGGCGAAGUCUCUUUGGAGGUCCACACCUGAGCUGAGUGCCCACUAAUGUCCCAGCCGUGUCCUGGGCAUGGCAUGGCGCCACUGUCUAGAAGAGGAUGUCUACUAGCAGACCAUCAAAGGAUCCAUACGGUAGCCUGCUGCUGUUCCAUCAAACCCACCCUGAGCCCACCUCUUUCCUCUUUCCAUCCAGUUAACAAAGGCUCCUUAGGAGUACACCCACCAGUGCUGUGGGUACAUCCUAAGUACCAGUACAUCCCUUUCCUGUUGUUGUGAACCUGACUCUGUGUUCCCUCCCCAGGGCUGUGCUGCCUCUGGGAAGUCCAGCUGUUCCAGGAUAUUUAUGGGAAGUCAAGUUAGGCUUUGGAAUAUUCUCACUGACGAGAUGAAAGGCAAGCUAACAGGCUGUGGCCGAUACAGAGAAACAGAAAGGGUAACCCAGAGGAGCAACUUUGGACUGCGUUAACACAUGACACUGUCCUGAAGAAACUCAUCAUGUACAUGGACUGUUUCCAUCCACAGUCAACUGAGGACGAGAAGAGCGUCCUGGUGUGCCGGGAGACAGCGCCAGCCCUUGCUAUCUCAGCGCACCACCUGACAGCCCCGAUUUAGUUGGCAAUAGAAUCUGAUAGCAAAGGGUCAGCCCCUGCCCGUACAGUGGGAAGUAAAAUUCUCAGGCUAAAGCCAGUCUCCAAGGAGCUUAUAUCUGGUUAGAGAGAUACAAUUUGAAGUUGG
rnacentral:lncRNA from 1 species